rnacentral:rRNA from 1 species
CCUGAACGCUGUCGGCGUGACUAAGACAUGCAAGUCGUACGGUGUAGCAAUACACAGUGGCGCACGGGUGAGUAAUGUAUCGCUAAUGUACCCCGAACUCUGGGAUAGCCAGCCGAAAGGUUGGGUAAUACCAGAUGAGACCACGACCUGGCAUCAGGUUGUGCUCAAAGGUUCGCCGGUUUGGGAUCAGGCGAUAUGGUAUCAGGUAGUUGGUAGGGUAACGGCCUACCAAGCCUUCGACGCCUAGCCGGACUGAGAGGUCGGACGGCCACAUCGGGACGUGAGACACUGCCCGGACUCCUACGGGGGCGUGCAGUAAUGAAUCUUCCGCAAUGCACGAAAGUAGUGACGGAGCGACGCCGAGUGAAGGAUGAAGUUCUUCGGAAUGUAAACUUACUAAAAUACUGUUAGAAAGUUACUUGAUCAGCAGACUAUAAGUGGCGACUAACUCUGUGCCA